AAGCCAGUAAAUUCCGUGAUCUCGCAAACACAGCCCCCAUCACCACCCCAAGGAACACAAGUGGCAGCAACCGUUGUGCGUUGAAAUGUGCCAAGGCAAAAGCGACCGCACUGACCAGAAUUGCCGGCCAUACUGGCAUGUACCUGGUCAGUGAGGGUAGAAGAAAGCCACGGAACACAAUCUCCUCCCAAAUAGGAGCGCACACUGACACCACCACCGCAUACAGAGCCAUGGCAACCGGAUCGCGAGCAACAAUCGACUGCUCCACACUGGACACACCCACGGGCGUUAUAGGCAGAAUAGGAACCAGUUUGAGGUUAACCUGAGACAGGAAGUUGACAAGUGGAAAGAGGAGGCAGCCCAAGACUACAUCAAGGUGCCAGCUUCCUCGCAGGCUAAGACUGAACCAGCCAGAUGGAAGGGGGAAG
rnacentral:misc_RNA from 1 species